GAUGCAAAUAGCGGGGUGGGUACCGCUAAAUUCAUUCUUAGUUGAAUGUCGAAUCGCUAAUACCAUUGUUGGUUAUGGUAGAACAGUUUUCCACACUGGUACGCUGUAUGACGUCGAGCAUUGCCAAAAUUGAAGUGCUCUUUGAAGAACUGAGCGUCUAAAUCUUCUUCAGUCAGAUGAAGCUAACGGAUUCGGAAAUCGUCGAAGAAGCAGAGGACAUCGCAGCUGAAAAAAAAAAACGUGAGUCAAACUCCUGUGGUUAAGUUCUGCAGCUACUCUCAACAUAUUUUGUCUUGUUUGCUCGUGUUGAUUGUAGACUGCUUUUAAAUUAUCUAUCAGGGAAGCCCUAAUAAGAGGUCCAAGAGAAAUUUAUUCGGGUCAACUGAUACCAUGCCACGUACUAAAUCGUUAAUGGUUUUCAGAUAAAAAAUAACCAUGGGAAUAUGGGGUCGCAGAAAUAGAUGUCACUGGUGGAAAAUAAGAAGGUGAUAUGGUAUUUUUCUUUUCUACUGUCUGAUUUUUAAAGAUUUGGUGAGGAACAUCCAAUCUGUCGAUCGCGGUCGCUAACCAAUUGUUAGAAAAACAGCACCAAUAAUGGUCGAGCUCGGAUGUGCUUUAUUCGAGAUUUUAACACAAAUUGCAUUUUAUACGUAAAAAAAUUUAUCAUAAAGCUACAAUGUUACAGCAUUACCCGUACUAUGGCUCGUCCCGGUUUGUAUUGCUUUGUAUAAUCUUUAGUUGAACGCUAAAUAUAUUAGAGGCUAGCUAAGAGAAUUUGGCUAGAUCUUUACAAGAUUA
rnacentral:lncRNA from 1 species